rnacentral:tRNA from 1 species
UGGCGGCGUAGCUCAGCUGGCUAGAGCGUUCGGUUCAUACCCGAAAGGUCGGGGGAUCGAUUCCCUUCGCCGCUAU